rnacentral:rRNA from 1 species
GACAGAGGGUGCAAACGUUGUUCGGAGUUACUGGGCGUAAAGCGUGUGUAGGCUGCUCCGAUAGUCGGAUGUGAAAGCCCUGGGCUCAACCUGGGAAUUGCAUUCGAUACUGGAUAGCUAGAGUUCGGCAGAGGGAAGUGGAAUUUCUGGUGUAGCGGUGAAAUGCGUAGAUAUCAGGAGGAACACCGGUGGCGAAGGCGGAUCUCUGGGCCAUUACUGACGCUGAGGAGCGAAAGCGUGGGGAGCGAACAGG